UUGUGACGUCACGGCGGCGCGCCGGCCUCAGGAGAGGACCCCUAUGCGACCGCGUCCCUUCGGUCCUUGAGCCUGGUCCUUGAGCCUGAGUCCAGCGCGCAGCGAUGGCCUUGAGGCUGCUGAGACUAGUCCCCGCGUCCGCGUCCGCGCGCGGCCUGGCGGGGGGCGCCCCGCGCGUGGUGAGGCGACGGGGCAGUGGGUAGCCCGGCGGGACAGUGGGCGGGCCGGCGGGCCGGGUCGGGUCUCUGCGCGGCGGCUCCGGGACCGCUCUCCGGCGGGGUCCUGCUGCCGGCGGCGUCCUCCGUGGCGGUCCCCAGCGCGGCCAGCUUGGUCGCAGCCGCCGGCGGAGCGCCGCGGCAGACGCACGGCCCGGAGGCGGCGGCUCGCCGGGUCCUGAGCUCACCAGCAGCUUUGCCGGGGGCCUUGGGAAGGGUCAGGCCCUGGGCGGGGCGCCGGGCCCGGGGCCGUCACGAAGAGGACCGCUGGGUGAGAUUCGGAAGCACGAGGGAAACUUCCCACUGUGGGGGUCAGGGAGGUGACCUCGCACGUGCAGAGGACAGGGGCAAAGGAACCGUGGCUGCAGACGCAGGAAACCUUUGGUGGACUUUGGGUGCCGGAGGCUCUGGGCCAUGGCUUUAAAGGGGCUUGGCCGCGAGCUGAGGGAUUGAGCGUGAACAGAGAGGGUGCCGGUCUGAUCUGGAGGAGAGAGGCGCUGGCUGUCCUGCUGUUGUGGGCCUGUGAGGGGGAGCCAGACGCCCAGAGAGCCCGGACCCUCACUGUAACCUGGGCCCGGUGCCCAGCUGUGGCGGCGCGUUCUCUGGGGCGCUUCAGAUUGAACACGGUGUAGGGUAUCCUCAGUGGUCAGGAGGACGCGUGCAAGGGGAAAAGUAGGUCUGUGUUGGACUGGAGGGACAAUUAAAGGAAUCGAAAACGGUUCAUGAAAAGUCGGUUAUUUGUGUUAUUCUGGGCAGCAGGAGAAUGGAGUCAAGGAUGCUUGUCAACCUAGUCUCCUGUGCGUGGACCGUAGGUGGCCAGGUCUUUGCUUUAGAGGCAUUACUCCAGUGAACGUCUUUGAUGUAUAUAGCCCUCUUCCCAUUUUGCUGCUGUGAAUGUGUGUCUAUGUGUAACUUACAAAAUAGUGCAUUCUUUCUUUUAAUUAACUAAAGCUAGGCUUUAUUCAGACUUCAUUAGUUUUUCCCCAGUGUCCAUUUUCUGUCCCAAGAUCCCAUCCAGUGUGUCCUGUAACAUCUGUUGUGUCCUCGGUUGUGUGGAUUUCUCAGACUCUUGUUUCUGGUAACCUUGAUGGUUCUGAGAAGUACUAAGCAGGUGUUUGAUUCUCAGAAACCUGGAGGGUUUGUCUUGGUUGAACUUGGCUGGGAAGAGGACUGCAGAGGUGAAGGGCUACUGGCGUCUCACCAGCACACUAGGAAUAUGACUGUUGGUUGAUGUUGAGGUAGGUCAACUGACUGCUGUGCUGAGGCUGAUUCUCCACUGUGAGGCUGUUCUCCCCCUGCACCCUGUGUUCUUAGGAGGGAGCCCCUUUGUGCCAUGCUUAUGGAGCAGGGUUGUGCUCCUUCCCCUGUAGAGUGUCAAGGUUGGCAAUUUGGACCUCUCCUCCCUGGGUGUGUGAGGAAUCAUGGGUAGUCACUGCUGCAUGUGUUGCCCACGUUGUCGUGGCUGUGUCCCUAUUGGUUUCUUGUUCCUGUGACUUACCGGGUUGUAUGAAUACUGCCUGACUUUUUGACACUACCUUUUUUGCAUAUCAAAAGAUGUGUAGAUGGCAGGUAAGCACAAGAAAAGAUGGCCAAGGCAUCUGUCAUCUGGGAAUCACAAGUGAAAGGACAAAGGAGACAAAAGCAUACAUUUAAUAGAGUGGUAAAAAGCCAAGUGGCUGAAGCCGGAGCAGCUGGCAGGACUGGCGCAAGGCAGGAAUGCCUUCACAGCCUCUGGGUAGUUGCUGUGCCUUCUUUUGCAACCUGUGUUCCCCCCCCCCCCCAAUCCUUCAGUAUUCAAGUAAAUCAAGUGUGAAAAACAUCUGUUUUAUGUAAAUUUUUUUUUGUGUUUGUGGUACUGGGGAUUGGACUUGGGGGGCAUGUUCUCACUGAGCUACAUCUCCAGCCCUUUCCUUAUUGAGACAGGGUCUCACUAAGUUGGCCUCAAAUUUGUAAUCCUCCUGCCUCAGCCUCCUGAGUAGCAGUGGCACACCCAGCUAUUCUUAAUAUUUUAAAUUCUCCUGUAUUCUUUUUUAUAAUAAAGUAUUUUAUUAUUUAAUUAAGUAAGUGGUUAAUAUUUUGUGGUAAGGGUAUACCUUAAAAUUUUAAGCUCCUCCUCUGUUGUUGGAUAAUUGCAUUUGCCAUUAUGAACAAUAUUUCAUCAAGCAUCCUUAUAGGGGAUUCUUUGCACAGAUGAGUGUCCCCUUAGGACAGGUUUCUGGUGCUAGGCUCAGUAGCCUAGAUUUAAGCACCAUUAGCUGUUUAUGAGGGAACUCAUUGUCUUGUCCUAAAAAAUCAAGUAUUUCCUGUUUUGAUGCAUGAAAAAGUGUUUUCUCCUUUGUUGUUGUCUCUUCCAGACAUUUGAAUGUGUGGUUAUCUGCAUACCUAACACUUUAAAAAUGAGCUGUGUAGCUGGGCAUGGUGGACAUAUCUGUAGUCUCGCUGACUCAAGGCUGAGGCAGGAGGAUCACAAGUACAAGGCCAGCCUGGGCAACUUAGUGAGACCUGUCUCAAAAAAUAAGAAGGGCUGGGGGUGCAGCUCAGUAGUAAAGCGAUCCCUGGGCCGAAUCUCUAGUGCCAAAAGGAGCAAGCUGCGAGGUCACCCUUCAUAUGUCUUACUGAUGUGUAGAAUGUCCUUGUACCAAGGCACAUGCUGCUUGGUAUUUUUAUUUGGCGGGAGAUUAUUUUGGCUUCAGUGUGGAGGGCAGAUGGAAGACGCUGGAGACGGCAGGUGAGGCGUCUCACCCUGUGCAUGAGAGCCAUGAGGAUGUCUGCAGAAUCAGGGCAGCAGGGGAGCAAAGUGACACUUUGGCCAGAGGUGGAGGGUCAGGAGUCAGAGUGGUGGUGGGGCUGGAGGAAGGAGGAGGGGAGCUGUUAGGUAGGGGACGCGGCCUGUUGUGAGUGAGAGCAGAUUUAUGGAUUGGGGUUGGAAGUUGUGCUUUGGUUUAGGACUGCUAGCUCACAGGUGUAGGGGACCAGCUGCAGCUUGGGAUGAGCCCAGAGAUGCUUUCCUGGAAAGAGGAGAUGCCCUCUCUGUCUCCCCAGCCGCUUUCUUCCUGCCUUUCUCCCUCCCGCCUGCCAGCCUUCUGCCUUCCAUUUUCAUGGAACAUGGCAAGCAUACUGCAGGCUCCAUUCUGGCCCUGUGCCCCUGGGGUGAGGAGGGUGGGUGUAGGCAGGGCCUGUGCAGCCCUGGGGUAAGGAGGGUGGGUGUAGGCAGACCCUGUGUGCCCUGAUGUGAGGAGGGUGUAGGCAGGGCCUGUGCAGCCCUGGGGUGAGGAGGGUGUAAGCAGGCCCUGUGCGCCCUGGGGUGAGGAGGGUGGGUGUAGGCAGGGCCUGUGCAGCCCUGGGGUAAGGAGGGUGGGUGUAGGCAGACCCUGUGCACCUGGGGUGAGCAGGGUGGGUGUAGGCAGGGCCUGUGCACCUGGGGUGAGGAGGGUGGGUGCAGGCAGACCCUGUGCACCUGGGGUGAGGAGGGUGGGUGUAGGCAGGCCCUGUGCACUCUGGGAUGAGGAGGGUGCCGGUGCUGGCAUUUUUGCCGUUGAUGGGUUUUUGGUGCUGUUAGGUUACUGAUGCCUGCAGUGCUGAAGGGUCACAUGCUGUGGGACGGCGUGUCUUCCAGGGACUGCUUCACACCAGUGCACAGUGCGAGCUGCGGUAUGGGGCUUUGGCAUUCCUGCUUGGUGAAAGGACAACCAAGAAGCUGACGGAGUCCAGCAGAGUGAUCACUGUGGAUGGCAACAUCUGUUCUGGAAAAGGCACACUGGCCAAGGCAAUAGCAGAGAAACUAGGUAUGAGCCACUGCCAUGCGCAGCGGGAUUCCCAGACACAGCUGUGGCCUCCUGCUGACCUCACUGUACUAUCCAGGGGUGGCCCUGGUCCAAGGGAGGUCUUUUACAUUUACAUUUGGUAUGUUUGGAGAAUCAUAGUGUCUCCUGUCCAUGCCGGUUACCAGCUGGAGCUGGACUUGCCUGGGCAGUGCAGGCAACACGUGUACUGUGAGCUGUCCUGUGGGCUCUGUGAUGGCCUCUGCUGCAGAGCUGUGGUUGUUACUCCGACUCACACUGGGUGGAUUGGGAGGUAAGCCAGUGUCACACAGCCGGUCAUUAGAACCCGUGUCCAGUUUUCCACGGUGCCUUCACUGGCAUCCAGUGGCAGCUGCCUGUGUGCACAGAGGACUCCUGUUAGGGGGGGUCAUUCUCUCAGGAGGGCUCUGCCUAUGGGCACAGUAUGGCUGUUCCGCCCUGAUGCGCUCUGGGCGUGUUGUCACCAGCGUCUCUGUCCCCCAGGAUGCACAGCGGAACUGGGGCUGGUUGGCUCCUCAGGUGGCUUCAGACCGGGUUGUGUGUCCUGCAGUCCCCACGAUCCCCCUGCGGGAGUGGGGGUCAGUCGCGCUUCACCAGUACUUCUCCCUCAGGCAUGAAGCACUUUCCUGAAGCAGGGAUCCACUACGCAGACAGCACCACAGGGGACGGGCGGCCCCUGGACGUGGAGUUCAGUGGCAACUGUAGCUUGGAGAAGUUCUAUGACGACCCGAAAAGCAACGAUGGCAACAGCUACCGCCUGCAGUCCUGGCUGUACGCCAGCCGCCUCCUGCAGUACGCAGACGCCCUGGAGCACCUGUUGAGUACAGGUGGGCCGCCCUUCUCAGUCCUCUUUGGGGUCCAGCCCUUGAAAUCCCAUCACUAGUGCUUUUCUGUACAGGUGCUGGGGCAAGUCGUGUCUUUCCAGUAAGAGUAGGAAUGUCUUGAGGUCCCGUUUCUGAUGCUCCAGGGUGAGGUGGACGCACUUCCCUGUGCACUGCAGUGAGCUUCACGCCACAGUGGUGGAGGGCAGUGGGGACACAGAGGCCGCUGGGAGGAAGUGGAGUCACAGUUGGGAAGAGGGGGCUUGAGGGAAGCAGAAGCACAGCGGCCAGCACCGGGUGGUUCUGCGGGGCUGGAGCUGGCUGAUCCACACAGAGCCCGGGGGAAGUUAGAACUGGGGGGCAGGCAGAACACACAGGUGGGGCUGUACAGUCAGGCAGGCAGAGCCCAGGUGCGUGUUGCUCCUACGAACGUGUGUGUUGUGCAGCCUACCUUUUAGGCAUCUCUACCAGGAUGGUGCCCAACUCUCACUGCUGGGCAGUAGCUUGGAUGUGACACUGGUGUUUGGGCCACUCCACUUUCAUUUUGAAGCACACUUCACCCUAUUUUCUGACUACCCAUUUCUUAAAAUUAAAGUCUUUUACUUGUUGAGUGGAAACUGGCCUGUUUCCUUGUGUGCUGUGUUCAUCUUUACGUUGAACACGAAUGCAAGGCCCGUCCAGGAGCCUGGGUUCCACAGGGAGGAGGCUUCUGAAUGAGCAGGUGGGUGGUGACCAGAGGCGGAGGCAGGGUGCCAGGGAGUGAGGGCGUGGAGGGCAGAGGCUCUACAGAAGGGCCAGGGCGCUGGGGCUCUGCUCUUCUAGAGGGGAAGGGGAGGGAGGGCUCUGUCCAGUCCCAGCAGGGCUGAUUGCAAGGGCCUUGUGCCUUGAGCAGUGUGAGUGACCCUUGGGACCAUUGUGACAGUGUGGCAGCAGUGAGGCUGAGAGUCAGGAGAGGGGGCGUCAAAGAAGUAGCCUAGCUGAGAUGGCCGGGUCUUGAGGGCCACGGCAGAGACCGGGUUUUCCUGAGGGAGAGAGGAGGCCAGUGGGAGGGUUGGUGCAGGAAUGAUCCAUGUGGCAGGUGGAAGUGUCCCUCUGCUGUCGGGGACCGGGCGAGGCAGGAUCAGGAAGUGCCAGCAGAGGCGGUGCACAGUGAUUGUGUUUGGUGGUGUUUGGAGAAUGCUGAGACGGCUGGGAUGAGUGGGGUGUGGGUGUGAGGGAGGGACUUGGGACAGCAGCAGAUUGCUGGGCACAGCGAGGUGCAAGGGCUUGGUUAGAAACAGACUCCCCAUGUUUGUGGGACGCCUCUGGGAUGGCUGAUGGAGUGUCCGUGGAGAUGAAAGGUCACUGGAACGGAACGGAGGAGUUUUUGAAAAUGUUUUUUUUCUUAUGAAUUUGACUUUGGUCCUUUGACUACAUUGGCUUGGAAAUGGAAUUGUGUUUUUUUCCCCAUUUCUAAAAUGACCUGACGGUGGGUAGGACUUCCUGCCUGCCUGCCGUCUGAGUCCCGCUGCCCUGUUCUCCACAGGACAAGGCGUGGUCCUGGAGCGCUCCAUCUUCAGCGACUUUGUCUUCCUGGAGGCCAUGUACAACCAGGGCUUCAUCCGCAAGCAGUGUGAGUCCCAGCCCCCCUCCCUGGCAUGUGCGGGCUCUGCCGUGGCUGCCCUGGGCCCGCAGCGCCUUCGGGGAAAGGCCGCGGCCUAGCCUGAUGCCGCUGUGGAAUGCGCCUCACAGAUGGGAGCGACUGAGCUGCCCACCCCCUUCCUCCUGUGGAGUCCCGGGCACUUGAGAGCACACAGCUGACCCACGGCUGCUGACCCUCCUCCAAAGCACCCCAGCCCUGGGCCUGCAGGCUUACCUGUGCUGAGCCAGUCCCCAUGUGCUUCCUGAGGCGUUGGCAGGGGCCGUUUCCUCAGCCUGCCCCUGCAGCGUCCUGGUGGUCACCACAGUCCUUUCCCCUCUCUGGUGUGUUGCUGCUCCAUGUUUUCAGGGGCAGUGGCAUCGUGUGGGGCAUUGACAGUAGCAGGUGAGGGGUAAUGACCUCUGUGAGGGAAGACUGACUUGAGUCAGGGUGGGGUCGGAACCUCUGUGGCCGGGAGUGUGUUGGGCAGUUCUUUGACCAGACCAUGUGGUCAGUCUGCCCACUCCCCACCCUGUGCUGGGGUGGCUGGCGCAGCAGGGAACUAGAGUGCGGAGGUCCGCUUAAGCGUGGCUGUUGAUGAACGGGCCUUCUGGAGUGCCGCUGUGUGCCCAGCUCUGUCUUGGUGUUUGGGACGUGAAGGGGCACCACGCAGGACUCACAAUCCUGGGGGUGGGUGGGGCUUAGAGCAGCACAGUCGGAGGGGCUGCAGUCCAGGGUCCCCAGGCUGCUGUGCAGCGAAGCACACCAGAGGUGUCUGGCCUGCGGGGAGACAGGGAAUUUCCUCCACAGGGGGCCUCCAGGGGUCCCCACAGACGCGAGCCACUCAGUGGGCAGCAGGCCUGUGGGGGGACUGCUGUGGAGGGGUACUGGAGCAGCAGGGCUGGCACCUGGUUAGGGUUAGGGGGCUGGUGACGGCUGCAGAGCCACUGGAUGUGAGUGUGGAGAGGUGGCAGGCGUUGGGGUGGACGGUGCAUGUGGUGAGGGGAGUGGACCGGUGCCCAGAUUGGAGGAGGCUAGGCUGAGACAGGGAGAAAGGACACUGGCAGGCUGGUGGUGGCAUUGUGGAGCAAAGUGGGAGAGUGACGGUGGGUCUGUGAGAGGAGGAUGCAGGGCACAGCACGGUGGGGUGGGUCCCUGUCAGGGCGUCUCGGGGAGGGUCCCUGGGCGAGGCCUUAAGGCAGCGGAAGCCUAUGCUGCAGACCAAGGGCCGGGCUGGGCUGGAGGCAGUUCUGGGCCGCGCGGAGGGCACGUUUGUCUUGGGAGCAGCUGUGCAGUGGGGACAGCUGAGACCAGACCUGGUGCCCUUGCCAGGGAGGUGGAGCCCUGUUAAAGGGUCCACGCCACGUGAGUCACCUGAGAAAUGGGAUGCUGACGAGUCAGGAGGGAGUGGGACUGGGCAGAGUGGGCAGGGCAGGGGAAUGUCACCAACAGUGGGAGAGCCACUUCACCUCCUCCAGGGUCCUUGCCCUUCCUCUAGCCGUGUCCUCGCUGGCCUUGGGCCAGGGCCCAUCCCCAGAGUGCAUCCAGAGUGAGUUUCCAGGAGGAGUGUUUUCUUUAAAGUGAAGUAAUUGUCUCUCAGUGGUCCUUACCUGAUCACCUGCUGUGACUUCUGGAAGGUUCCUCCAUGGCAGCGCCUGCAGAGGCGAGGGUUCCUUGACACUGUGGGUGAAGGUGGUGGCUUCACUCCACACACCGAGUGGUGAUUGGUGUGGCCGGUGUGUGAUGUCCCCUGGGCAGAGUGCUCUGAACAGCACCAGCUCUCCGCAGCACCGUGGCUGUCUUGUGGGGCUGGCCAGUGGGCACUCUCAGUGACGCCUUGGUGGGAUCGUCCCGCCUCAGCUGCGUUGCUGGCUGUGGAGAAGGCCAGGCCUUAGUGCAUUGCUCUGGAGCCCCGCACACACAGCAGGCACCUGUCACACCUCCUAUCCACGUGUGCCUCCCUCCUGCCCGGCAGACGAGGUAGUGGGUGCAUGCUGGCUCUGUCCCUGGGUGCCGUUAGGUUGCAGUGUGAAUCCAUGCUGGACCUCGUCUGAGCUGAGGACACCUGAUGGUUCCAGCGUGUGGACACCGGGUGGAAGGGACACAGGCUCGGUGGCUACUCUGAGUGCAGUGCUGCUGGGUGCAGUGCCCAUGGCCCUGUGGCCAUCUGCCCUUGAGGGCGUGCUCAAUGGCUUCAGCUGACUUAGGAGUGUACGGUUGGCACAAGGCCUGAGGAUGACGUGAGCUCUGCCCUUUACUCAAGGAGGGGUGUGUGCAGAGGCCUGUCGAGGGCCAGUGACAGUGGCCUCUCUUGUGCCAGGUGUGGACCACUACAACGAGGUAAAGAAGAUCACGGCCUGCGAGUACCUGCCUCCCCACCUGGUGAUCUACGUGGAUGUGCCUGUGCCGGAGGUUCAGAGUCGGAUCCAGAAGAAGGGAGAUGUAGGUCCGCCUGUGGAGCCCAUGUUGCUCUCUCAAGGCCAUGUGGGAUUCUGGCGGUCCUCACUGGGGUGACUGACACCAAUCAGGUCACAGCUGAAGAAGGUGCCCAUGUGGGUGGGAGGGCUGGGCCCAGCCGGGCGCCAUCUCCGGUGGGAGCUGCCUUCCCCAGUGCUGCCCAGGCCCCUGUUGUUCCUGGGCCACCCUGGCUGUCCCCGUGGGUGGGGGGGCCUGCUGAGUGCCUCCUUCCUAUUGCUCUUGAAUCGAGCCCCUCCCUCUUUUACCUCCUUCCUGUUUCUAGGAGAGUAGAAGGUUGCUCUCUGCCCUUUGGGCUGGGUCUCAGGUGGCUCCCAGGAGCCCUGCAGGCAAGGUGGAGGGUGCUGGGUGGGCACUGCUGUCCUGGGGCCUUUCUGGCCAGUGCUGCAGUAGGGACAUGUGAUCUCUUUGGUGUGUGAGGAAGAUGCAGGUGACGGCAGCCUGUGUUCCAGGGCCGUCCACUGUGUGGGGUUCAGCGGUCCCUUCUGAAUGGCAGCCUCCUGUUGUCCUUUGCUGUCCCUGGUGGCCUGGGAGACUGACUCCUCAUCUCAGGUCAAGCAUGUGUGAGACUUGCAGUGUCCCUGCUCAUCCUCUCUGUGCCUCAAGCUGCCUGAGAGGCUGCUCCUGGUAUGAUCAGUGACUUAGACUGGGGACAUGCCCUCAGGCGGCAAAAGGAGGGACCUGCAAGUUAACAAUGUUUGAUCCUUUGCCAGUGGAAUAAGGUGACACUUCCCAUGCUAACAUUCAUUGAGAAAAUCUAGGGCAUGUAUUCCAAAUUCUCAAGGUAACUAUUUUGUUAUCUUAGACAACAACAUUUUGGAAAUAAUUCUGAAGUCAAAAUUAGAGAUAUCAGUUUUUUUCCCAAGUAAAGUGUCAGAUGAAUGAUGUCAUCAGCUGAAACGAGCACUGAGCGAGACACUCGGAGACCUCGGGCCAGAGAGAUGGUAGCAGAGGCCUGUGUCCUGUCUCUCUGUGCAGGCUGUGCCUGUACCUUGGGCCUUUGGAAAUAGCCCCUUCCCUGCUCCAGGACAGCUGGUCCUGGUCACCGGAUGCUGGCUGGCGUUUGUGGUUCACAUUUCUGUGGUGUUUAUGGGGCUGGGGUUUUGGUCACAUUAGGGGUGAUCUUCUUUCACUCUGGGCCGUAGCCAGUGUGGGCUCCCCCGCACUCCUCUAGUGCUGGGUGCCUCCUGCAGGCUGGCUCUGGGAGCUCACCUGCCCUGUGCCGGGUCCUUGCUGACACACGCCCGGUAACAGCAGCUUUCCUGAGGGAGUGGCCCCUUUGUGGACAGAGCCAUGAGGGUGCAGCUGGUCGUGUGGUCCCAGGCCUGGCUGGUGUUGGGCUGCGAGCACUCCAGAGAUGCUCCAGAGUGAUUUUAAUGUUUUUUUCUUUUUCUUUUUUUAACAGCUUUACUGAGGUAUAAUUUAUACUUUUUAAAAUUCACCCAAUUUAAGGUAUAACUCAAUGAUUUUUAGCAAAGUCACCAAAUCAUGGCAACUACACCAUCAGCCAGUUCUAGGAUAUUUUUAUCAUUUUGUGAAGUCAAAACAGUAGGCUUAAUGCUUUCUCCCCCUCCCCCGACAAGUAUUCACCAGCGCCCCGGCAGCGGACAGCUGUGUGUGGGCAGUGCGGGCGAGUUCCGCACUCAGUGGGCACGCGCUCUCCUGGCAGGCCCUUGGUAACAGGACGGGAAUGCGCACAGUGCGUCAGACAGAAGCAGAGGCACAAGUAGGAGAGAAGUGCAGAAAGAGAGCGCAGGUUGCCAAGGGCAGGGCAUCUUGGGUUCCAGCCCGGCCCCGCGUGAUGUGAUUGUAUUCAAGGAUUAAUACGGGGCUGGGGCUCAGAGGUAGAGCCCUCGCCUAGCCUGCGUGGGCACUGGGUUCGAACCUCAGCACCACAUAAAUAUAAAAUAAAGAUUCUGUGUCCACCUAUAACUAAAAAAAAUAUUAAAGAAAUUGACUUCAGAUGAUAAUGGAGGCGAGAGAUCGGGAGCGUGGGGAUGGUAAGAAGGGAGGUGUGGAGAGAUGCAGAGAGGGUCUGCGACAAAGAGCGGGUGCUGAGGGCAAGCUGGGGCGAGGCCAGCGGCCUCCAUGGUGGCUGUGACCCUUUGUUGCCUGUACUUGGGCCCAAGUGCAACAGCGCAGCCUCUAAGGGGCUUCCAGAGCCUGUGCAGGAAGGUCCUGCUGGGCCUCCCCUGGGACCCUGCAGGGCUCCCCACCACUCAGUGGUUUGCACUGUACACAUGCACAGGUAAAAGAACAACGUCAGACUGUCCCUGUGUGAAUUUUCUGUUUUGUUUAGCCACAUGAAAUGAAGAUCACCUCUGCCUACCUCCAGGACAUUGAGAAUGCCUAUAAGAAAACCUUCCUCCCCGAGAUGAGGUGAGCCAAGCUCGCGCCGACCGCAGGAGCAGCGCUGCUCCUUCACGAAUCGGUCCUCACCCCGCAGCCCUGGGAGUGGGCUCUGGCUCAGGGCCGUGCUGGGGGUUGUCUGGGCGUCCAGUGUUUUUGAGCAAACAUUGUAGGAGACAUUGCAGUUGAUCUUUGUGAGAUGAUUUGUUUCAUCCUUAAAAUUUGGGGGGGCACAAAGAAACACCCAGUCUGUGUCAGGGUUUAGCACUGGAGGGCUCAUGUGUUUUCACUUCAGGGGACAACUGAACAUUCCUGUCCACCUAGAAGGGCUGCUCGAAGCACUUGGCCUCCCUGUUGGGUGUGGCCACAAGAAGUGAGGUGGGGCAAGUCUCUGGGUGCUUCCUACUCCCAUCUCCAGAGGGCUGGCACCGAUGGGGAGCCAGACCUCCUUCCUCUUCCCGUUGGAAAGCUGGGAGAGGCAUCUUUCUGUACACACUCUAGCUUGUCGUCCUGGGGUCCUUGGGUGUCCAUGUUACUGCUGUCACUCAGGUCCAGUUACAGCUGGGUUGUUUGAAUAAGGCUUUUAUUAAAGGUUUUCAGUAGGAUAAUGUACUUCUAAGUUUCAUACUUCUUCAAAACUUAACCCUCUUUUGAUACCUAAAAACUUAACGCUCAUGUUUAAAAUUUCAAAGUAAUCAAAAAUUGUGAAUUAAACAAAGUGUAGUAAUUUUGAAAAGAAGCUUUGUGUUUGAACUGAGAGUGUCUCGCUGUGAGGUGGUGCUGAGGUCACGGAGCUGUUCUUCCUCAGCCUGUUCUGUUUUCAAGACCAGAAGUGCCCCCCCCCCAAAAAAAAAAGGCUGUUUGCCCAUCUGUGCCCAGGGGAGUAUGCAGAGCUGCGUGAGCCGCAUGAGCAGAGACCGUGACCCCAGAAUUUCUGUCCAGAGUCUCCUCCUGACCUCUGUCCAGAGUCUCCUCCCUCCAUGGCAGGGAGCUCCAGGGGUCUGGUGUUGUCUAGGGGUGGGUCCUGCAGGCUGCUGGUGGGCAGAGACAUGAGCAGUGGUUCUGAGCGCCCUGCCCUGGUGCGCUGUGGGCUUGGGCUGCACAGGAGGGUCGCUCCUGAGGUCCCACAUUCCGAGGUGCUGGAACUCUGCUGCCACCUCCUCCAUAUGGUGUCCCCAUGGUGAUGGGGACCUGCCGUGUGGAGCAGAAGCUCAGAGCCUGACAUUCACCUCAGGUCACCUCAGGUCUGGCCAUGGCUUGCUGGGUAGAGCCCCAGGAGCCGUUUCUGGGUUGUGCAGUCUGGGUAGCUUCUGAGGACGUGUGUCUCAGAGCCCUGCAAGCCAGCCUUGCUGGGACACUGCUGCUGCCCAGGCCGCAGCCUGCCCACCCUACCUAUUGAGCUGGAUGUCAGCCUGGGGCGGAUCCCCGUCUUUUUCUGCAGCGUCCUGUCCUCUUGUCUUUCACACACAGCCCGUCCUUUCAUCAGAAACCGUGAUGACCAGAGCUGGCCUCCUGCAGCUCUGCAGACCACUGGGUGCCAGUGUCCCCACCACUGUGGCAGGGGCAGUGGCUGUGUGAGUGCCUUGAGGGGCGCUGUUCUCUGAUUGAGCCUUUCCAUGUGGACCUUCAAGGCCACUGCUACUCCCUGGCUGUGCUGGGCUAUACCUCACCCUGGGGGGGCAGCUUCCCUGACUGCCCGGGGGGCACUGGAGUCUGAAGAUCUAGGGGUACAGCGAGCCACCUUCCUGGGGUCCUUAGGCCUCUUUUUCUGUAGUGUAACCUUAUUAAAUUCCCAGGUCUGUUGUGUGGUCUCUCUGUUUACAAGGGACAAGUAGGCAUCAGAGACGCCCUGAGGAUGGCUGGUUCUGUUGGCAGAGCUGGUGGCACCCGUCCUGCAUGGAGCUGCUUCUGACGGGCAGCAAGGAUGCUCACUUGCCCCCCUCUUCAUUCUGUGCGAUCCCGCCUCCCUCUGGUGCUGUCCAAGCCCACGCUGAACGGUUGCUUUGCGAAUCCUCACUCCCGGGGUAUCGGGCAAACCAGGACAGGACUGUAAAGACUGCUCUGUGGUCAGGUGAGCAGGCACCCUCUCCAGGGCCUGCUGGCCUGCUGUGCUUGCCGCCCGCCUACUGCAGGGCUGGGUGGAGCCCUGUGCUCGGGGGCACUGUGCGUACACAGUGUAGGCACACGUAUGAGGUUUCGUGUGUCGUUGGUUUGUGGGGUUUUCUGCGUGACUGUGUCAUACCAUGCAUUGUUCAAACAUUCUGGUUACAACCUCUCCUGCUCCACAGAUUCAGUAAGCUGCGAGCGUUUGGACAGAUGCAGUCUCUGUUCAUUGUUACGGUGAAUUCUUCCUAGACAGCCACAUAGCUUAUGUGUCAUUUGUCAAGAUUAGGAGGAUAAGGUCCUGAAGUCCUCUGUGCAGUGUUCGUUACUUUAAGCACGAAGUGUAGACCAGUGUCAUGCUGCAGCUCUGGGAAGGAUUGGGACCUAACAGUCUUCUCUCAGAAAUUUGCUAUGGAAUUUGACUAUUUCAAUUAAAAUUUCAGGACAAAUAGGUCACAGCCUAAGGUUUCUAUGUCAUUUGUGCUUUAGAAUCUGAGGGUGCUUUGCAGCAGUGGUAGUUGGGGGUUUUCUGGCUGAAGAGUGUCCAGCAUCUGCCAUGCUGGGCGGUGAGGGCACUGUAGUGGUCCUCCUGGUCUGGCUUACCAAAUGGCCUGCCAGUCCACACAGCUGCUCUGGAGGUGGACAGAGGCAGCUCCUUUGCAGGGUGAGGCCCACCUGUGUCAUGUCAGCUUGUGGGUUUUCAAGCAUCCAAGGCAGGACAGCCAAGGCCACUAGAUGGUCAGUGAGAUCUGUGGGGGGAGGCGUUGCCGGCAGCAGUGAACUCUGCCCCUUCUUUUUGAGACAGAGUUGAGCGGUUGAUUAUCCAGUGUCCAGAUGAAGGACUGAGGACCAGGGGCCUGGGGAGCUGCUACCAUCUGUGUGGUUUGGUUUGGUCUGGUUCUCCUGGGAGUUUACUGUGUCCCUGGGUUUUGAAUUCCAGCAGUUCAGACAUUCUGCACCCCACAACCUCUGCCUAUUGCCCUUGGUGCCGUGUUUGGUGAGGCCUGGCCACAUUGUCCUCUCCUGUAACCAGAGCUGUGGCCAGUGUGGGUGUGGCAGGUGGUGGCCCAUGCACCACUCCUUGGGCAUCACAGUCCAGGGAGUGGAGCCAGGGCAAAGACCAGCAGUUACGGCCACCAGGCCAUGGCACGUUGCUACUGCCCUGCUGCGCGGCAGGACAGCCCCAGCCCGGUGCCUGGUCAGGGCCACAGAGUGUUAGUGGAGCGGGAGAUGUGUGUGGCCUGUGUUGGCGCACGUGUGCACUGCGGCGCGGGAAGGCUUAUGUGGAAUUUCUGCUUUUCCCUGCAGUGAGAAGUGUGAGGUCUUGGUCUACAGUGCGCGGGAGGCUGAGGAUGCGGAAAAGGUGAGCAGACGUGUAGCAUGGUGAGUGCCCCUCCCUGUGGUUCCCAGGUGCCGUUCUAGAGGCUCAUCUACCCAGUUCCAUUCCACUGUCUUUGCGACCAUCAGUGUUUCGUGGUCCAGAAGCAGCAUCCAGCCAGCCCAUCACCUCCUGUGGCUGUGACAUUUUGACUUUUUAAAAAAACAGCUUUAUGAUCUUAAAAUGGUGAGCAGUGAAGAUGCAGAACCUUGGUUGCCAGCCUCGGUGUCUGUGUUAAAUCCUGGUGAGGCUGAAAGCCGGCCUCAUCGGGGGCAGUUGGUCACUCCUAGAAGCUGCUUUCCCGGGUCUGUGUCUGUGAGCUCCCUGCCAGUCUCAGUGGUUUUCAGGAACUUCAUGGGGAUAACCAAAAACUUGUGAAGCAGAAUCAUUCAGGACGCUUGCCCUUCCAGAUGUAGAAGCGUGUGCGUGUGCCGUCGUGCGGCCACGGUGGGCGAGGCCGGAAACAGGCCGUGUGGGGGUCACAGUUUGGCAAAGCCACAUCCUGAAGGGUAACAAAAAAUGAAGUGGAGGAAAUGGGUUAGUUUUUGAAUGGUGUUGAAGCAUUUGAGCGUCCAUUCUGUGUCCUGUGUCACACCUACAUCACCAGGAGACCAGCAAGGCGGGCAUAGGAAUUGUGGGACCACAUGCAGGCUGCAGACUGCUGUCCUGGCAGAGGAGCUGGCAGAGUGGACACUGAGUAGCAGCCCUGCUGGGUUCCUCCCUGUGCGGGAGGGAAGGGGAGGGAAGGGGCUGGGCGGCUCUCCCCAAGAGCAGUGUCCCCAGAGAGACGGAACCUCUGUCCUAGCAGCUCUGCUGCUGGGAUAGUGAGAGUCGUGCUUUCCCGAGCUCUUUUUGUAGUGCUGAUUGUGUAUUUUCAGAUUAUUUUUAUACCUGUGUUAGAAUAUUUCAGUGGCACGCAUCUUAGGAGAAUGACAACUCUGUCUCCAAGACUGCGUUGUUGUCGAAGGCCAUUGUUGAAUGCACAAAGUUUGUUUUUUUCCCCUUUCUGGGGCUGGCGGGGUAGCCCCGUGGGUACCCAGGGUCUCCCUAAAUUGCGAAGCCGAUUUUGAACUUGUGAUCCUCCUGCUCCGCCCUCCUGAGUGGCUGGAAUUACAGGCACCACCAGCAGUUAUGGCCGCCAGUCCAUGGCACGCCAGCCCAAACUCUUGAAACUUGAAGGUGGUGCUGAGUCAGGCGUGUUUGGGAGAUAAUGGCGUGCAAGGGUUGCUCUGGAGGUGCCUGUCAGGGAGGUGUCUAGGGCAGGAGGUGCCAGCCACGUCCUGGGAGUGUGUUGACGUGGGUUCUCCUGUCACUUUGUGAGUUGGCCCUGCCUUCCAGAAGGAGCCUGUGGGGGGAAAGGGAGGUCUGUCACGAGGCGGGCUGCUCCCUGGCCUUGUCCUCCUCUGGGUGGCCCUCCCUCCCCGCCUGUGAGGUGGUCCUGCACACCCCGCCUGGAGCGCUGGGUGGGCCCUCCUGGGAGGCAGUGCUCAGGCCUCCUGAAGGGCGUCCCCUGUGCCCCUCUUCACCUCAGGGUGAUCCUUCUGACAGACACUUGGAGGUUACAGUGUGGUUGCGUGUAGGCUUCCGCAGUGGGCUCUCCCUUUAAAUUGGGCUCUUCCUCUCCCAGGUGGUGGAGGACAUCGAAUACCUCAAGUACGACAAGGGGCCGUGGCUCAGCCAGGACGACCGCACCUUCCACAACCUGCGGCUGCUGUGAGUGCCCCUGUGGGCGGGGAGCAGGGGCAGCGCUGCCUCCAAGUGCAGUCCUGGGUCUGGUCCGCAACCAGGGUUCGGGGUUCAAGUGAGGCGUUAGUGGCGCCAGCCAGCACCACGUGUAUUGAUUUCCUCUUUCCUUCCAGGCAGCUGUUGGGUGCCUGGUUGGGUCGCUACUUAUUUGGCUGCCGACAUUAAUUCAGCAGAGAUUCUGCUCCGCUCUGCGCUGGGCACUGUUCCAGGUUCAGGGCACGUGGCAUCAACGCAGAGAUGUCUCCUGUGGGGACACAGAAACAGCUGUGCUGGGUCCUGGAGGCUCUGAGGAGGGGUGGUGCUGUGUGGGCUGGGCAGCCCCCGGCACUGUCACUGUGCAGAACCCUCCUGCAGAGGCCUCAGCAGAGCCAGGACUGGGCCCCACGCAUCGGCCAGAGCAGGGGCAGCAGGUGGAGAGGCUCUGAGGCAGGAGUGAGCCCGGGGUGCCCAGAGUCUGGGUCCUGGUCCUGCGACCUCUUGCCUUCCCCGCUGGCCUCCUGCGUGGGACUCCCGCUUUCUCCUGUGUGGGCCACGCCAUUCCUGCCCCCAGGGUCUGCUCCCGCAGCCUUGGAUGGGCUCUCAGGGCACUGAGCGUCUUGCUGGCUCACAGCCAUCUUCACGGCCUCGUCGCAGCCGUGCUCUGGCCUCCAUGGGUGGACUCCAGGUGGCAGGAGGCCUGUCUGUUGCCCCGAGGGCCUUGGCACAGGAGUCACACAGAAGCGCACUUGGGAGGGAGGUCUGCGGCGAGCUGUCCUCAUCGCUUUUAGGACCACAAUUCCUGCAAAGCUCAGGAAUUGGCAAAGAAAGUGCUGUUGGUCGUGAUGACUUGUAAGUGUGAAUAGUUAGCUCAUAGCAGCAGGGCUGAGCUGGGUGCGUGGUGUUUGGGGCCUGCUUCUCAUUUGAAGUCCUGGCUGCCACCGGGGCCUUUCUGGGUCAUCUCUGGCCAUCUCCCAAGAACACCUUCUCAGGGCCCCUGCCCUUCAGCAUGGAAGCCUCACUCCCCUUGGCUUUCCUGGGCCUGUCUGGGGCAGGGAUGGCCUUGGCGCAUGUCCUCUCACCUUGAUCUCAGAGGGACGUGACGGUGGUGUUGAACCCCGACAUGAAGAAAAGACCUCUGACUCCAGUUUUAAAUCAGAUUAAAGCAAGCUUGUAUUUGUGUGCACAGGAGCAGGCCAGGACUGUCUCUCCUGAAAACCCCGGGCUGCAGACCAGCCCCCAGCUCUCCAGGAACAUGAUUUUAUAGCACAAAAAGUUGCAAAGGCGGGGGUGUCUUGAGAACUUAGAGACAAUGGGGUUCUGACAGUCAUGGUACAGAGUCAGAGAGCAGCUUAAUGAUGGACGUGGCAUGAUAGUUAAGGAAGGGAGCAGAUUCAGAUCCCCACAUCAGGGUUUGUGAGGCCCCCUGAGGUUUCAGAGAGGGCUGUUAUCUGGUCAGGUGUGGGGAGUUCAAGGCACGGGCAGGCAUUCCAAGCUAGAAUUUAUAGAAUUAGAAUUUAGAAAUCGCAGGAAUUUACAGCGAAGCAGAAACUAACUUUCCAUGGCUUUGUGACAAGAUGGCUCCCAAUCUUAAGAGGGAAUUAGGCUGGGCUCCUCAGGUGGCUGCAGAGGUGGCCCUGUGUCUGGUGGCAGCUCCUUCUUGGUGCUGCUGUGUCAUUGGCCCUUGAUCUUGAUUGUGUGGGCAGGAUCUGCGGGAGGUGAGUGAAGCAGUCCUCUCGAGAGCUCCAGAGGGUCGGUGGCUCACGGCACAUGUAACUAAGAGGUCCCCGAUCCCUGCAGGCCUGAGCUGAGCUUCCCUCUGUCUCUGGUGCAGGGUCACUGGCAGAAAGGACCAGUGAGUCUGCCGAGUGCCUGUGCUCCCAGCACUGUGCUCAGUGGUGUUCAGGUCACAGUCAUGUUUACGAGUCCAGAUCAGACUGGGUCCUGUGUUCGUCACUGUCAGUGAGACCUGCCCCCCAGUUAAGGGAACGGGUGCUGGUGUAGCAGGCAUGAGGAGGCCACAGGCAGGCAGAUGCGGCAGGUCAACUCCAGGCUGUGGUCCUGGGACUGUCGCUCUGCACAGGAGAGUGGGGAGCUAAAACUCCGAACGUCCAUCCGUGUGCCCUAGCAAAGGGAAAUCUAGGGUCAGACCCCAAAGCCAGGCAGCAGAGCUUUGCCACAGUGGGGGUGAAGUGAGACCCGGGCACAGAGCGCCUGGGGCGGGCCCUUCUCCUGCGGAGGCCACAGGGGGCAGCGCUGCUGCGGCCAAGCCUGUCGCUGUUUGGCGUCUGCCGGGAGAACUGGCCCCACCGUCCAGGCUCCCGAGUCACGGCUCUCUCCUCCCCAGGCCCCCGGGAGGUCUUGAGCCUCGCAGGUCCUCUCCUCACUGUCAAGAGGACAUCCUGCACGGGGACAUCCUGCUCAGGGGGCUGCUUCCACAAGCCAGUCCCAGGUUAAUGACGGUGCUGCCAUCAACGAUGGGGAGAUUAACUUAGUGCUCCUGCUGGGGCGAACUGUCCCUUCUGAAGUUCCCACAGAAACCUGUGGCCUAGGUCCUGACCUCAGGGUGCCCUCGGCAGACCCCGCCAGGAGCCAGCUGCCUUGGCCGAUCCUCUUGGUGGGUUUCAUAGUUGGCUCCCUUGCUCCCGCCUGUUCACCCCCGGGGCAGGCCCACCUGCUGCCGUGUUCCAGGUACUGGAUUGUUCAUCAAAGGAAUCCAGAAAAGCCUGUGACCUGCCGUGGUACUGGCCACACGUCACUGCCCAUUACCAGUUAGUACCUAACAACUUGAUCUGUGGUGCCUGGUAUUUUCAUCUGUAAACUUUGGCACAGAAGUAAAAGGCUAAGCUCUAUUUUCUGAAGAGAAAACAAGACCGCUCUCCAUAUGAGUUUUGUAUGUUGUCCAUUUCAUGGACUCACUGCCCUCGAAAACUGUCUUAAGCCAAGUAAACACAGCUUCUGUCUAACUAAGAAGGUCCGGGAAUGGAGCUCAGUGGUAGAGCACUCUGGGGUCCAGUCCCCAGUGCAAAACCCAGUAACGCAGAGCUGGUCUGAAGGACUUGGACAGCGCCUGUCUUGGGCACCAGGUUGAGCCAGUGUCCAUCGCAGGUGACCACAUUGUACAGUGGAGGUGCACAGCCCUUAGCACCAAGCAAAGGCACGUGGUAUGAGGGGCUGUGAGGCUGCCCUUUCCUGGCUCACUCUGCCCUGUCCACUCACUGCCUUGUGGACACUUGCCAGGCCAGCGGCUGUGGAGCUGAGCUUCCCAGGGUGGCUCACUCCUUUCUCCCAGGUCUUCGGGCCUCGCCCCAGAUCCAGUGGUUGUCGGCUGCCACUCUCCCAUUGAAUGCCCUGGGCCAUUGCUUCUGAGCUGAGUGCCCUGUAUGGGUCUCCGCCCGCUCACCUGUGGCUGUGCCGUGAGCAGUGUCCUGUCCCGUGUGCCCGCUGCCUCCAUCACCUCAGUGUCCUGAAGCCUUGCUUGGAAUUGAGUGGGGGCUGAUUCCCACUGUAGCUCGUCACCGUUUGUGAGCUGUGAGCUUUCUGUGGAGUAAGGGAAGACUUUAAAGGAAGGUCACCUGGGCUGACGGAGCACUCGGGAGUUGAGGUUUGUGGGCAGAGUGCCCAGGCCCCACAGGGUGGAGGAGAGCGAGACACAACUGCCUUGCUCCCUCAAGGUCCAGGCUCCCAGCAGGAGGCUGUGAAUGGGCAAGGACAGGCUCAUGAGAGGCAGACCCAUUCGCGGCCAAGAGCUGGGCACAGAGGCUAAGGACAGCAUCUCGAGGUCACAAGCCCUUCCUCUGAAGGGCCACACAGAGGCUGAAGCCACACAUAGCACCUGCUGCUGCUCCACAGCGGCCAGGACGCAUGCGUGGUCCUCACCGUCUCCUGGACGCUCACCUUGUAUAACGGCACGAGCAUUUCUCUGUUUUUCUGAACGUUCAACAGUCUGACUUUUCUAAUAGCUUCCCCUGCGUGCCCUGACUGAGGGGCAAGAUGGGGGGCACACCGCUGCCCGCGGGCCAGGUCCAGCCUUGGCUGCUCUCAGGAGGGAGGAGAAGUGGGUGCCACAGAAGCUGUGUAGCCACGAAGCUGAGUGUGUUCUGUGUGGCCUGAAUGUGCAGUUGCAUCAUGUGCCCUCUGUUGCAGGGUACAUGGAGAUGUGCUCUGUGGCUCAGGUCUGGAGACUGCGGGCCCAGGGGCAGUUGUGGGUCAGCCUCUUGCUUGUGCUGCAGGGGCCGGAGCUACCAGUGCCCUGGGCAGGUGACGCCAUCUUGCCCUCCCUGCACUGACCUGGCCUCUACCUGUCCUGUGUCCCGUUGGAGUGGUUCCUGUCUGCCUCUCUUGCUUCUGCUGCCUUUGUGGUCUGUGCCCAUCUGCAUCUUGCUCUCCUACCUGUCCAGUACAUGCCUCUACCAGGCUAGUGUCCAACACAAAUGUCACAAGACCUGCUGUUUCUUUCCAGAAUCUUUCGGUGGCUUGUCCUCAUCCGGUUGUAGAUCCAGAUUUCAUUUUCUAGAGUUGACCCAGAACCCGAGGUGUCUGCCCGGCUUGGCUGCCUACACUGAGCCUGCCCACCCCUCCGCCCAGCCGUGGCCUGCACUGAGCCUGCCCACCCCUCCGCCCAGCCGUGGCCUGCACUGAGCCUGCCCACCCCUCCGCCCGGACGUGGCCUGCACUGAGCCUGCCCGCCCCUCUGCCUGGAUGUGGCCUGCUUGUCCUGGCGCACUCUCAAGCCUGUGUGGAGUCGCUUUCUCUUUUCUCCCUGGCUCUCCUGACUGCCUGUGGGCCUGUGUGCCCCUGUUGGCUGCUGCUGAUUCUGCCAGGCAGAGCGUGAGCUGGCCGCAGGAGGGGUGCUGUCCUGAAGCCACAGCCUCGGGAUGUCUGGCUGGCCCCUCUAGUGACGGUACCUUGUCAGUUUCUAAACGCCUUCUGAAGUGUUUGUUGAUCUUGAUUCUCUACCAUGCCUAAAACUGAUGUCCUAAGACCAUUAUUUUAGUAGUUACUUGGUCAUCUGCUUAUCAAACAGAAGGACCCUGUAACUGCCCGUCUCAUACGCCACAGCGUCCAGUGAGUCGUCCUGGUUCAGCUCGCUGUGGUCUGGUCCUUUCCUUUUCUCCUAUUCCUUGUCCUCCCCUGGACAUCUCGUGACAUUUUACAAUGGUGUUGUCUUUAUUUUCCUUUGAUCACCAUUUCUGAAGUGGACAUCGCCGGUUUCUGCGAUGAUCAUCCUAGGUGUUUUGUCCAGACCGGCUGAAUGGCCAGUCCAGAGCACCGCGGUUCCUCCCGAGCCACGGUGUAGGUGUGUGAUCCACUGUGCAUGCCCAUGCUGAGGGGUGGUGACUGGCUUUGGUCUUGCUGGCCCUGCGAUCCCCUCUGUGGCCCACGACUGGCGCCUGCCCAGUGGGCCUGGCCUGUGAGGAGCGUGGUUCCAGCGGGGCGCCCCAUGUGCAGGCCUCUGUCUGGUCUUCCUGCUUCCCAGAGCCCAGGCCUCCCACUCCGAGCUGCCCCCAGCUUGGAGCCCUUCAGCUUUGCAGCCCGGCGUCCCACACUGCAGAGGCUUGGGGUCCCCCGUGCAGGUGCAGUCUCCCUGCAGAACGCUGUGGGCUGGGUGAGCCGGCUGGGACCUAGGAGAAAGUGGACUUUCUGGUGAUUGGGACACAGUUUGAGCCAUAAAAUCUUAUUUUCCAUCUUAUUCUUUUCUGUCUUCCAGUCUCACUCUUUUCUUUUGAUAACUGCAAACCACACUAACGCAGCUUUUCUUUUUAAUUUGGACGCUCGGCCUAAGACAAUGGAUUAUUCUGUCAGAUGUUGGUCCUUAAAGUACACACCGUGCUUGUGCUUCCCUUCCCUGUUUUCCUCUGCAUCUGGAGAGGCUCCUGGUGUCUUUGCUCCUUGGUGGCACCAUAGGCCAGCAGAGGCGCAGGCUUCGGGCUCAGUGGGGCUGCACCCUGGCCCUUCCCAGGUCCUGGAACCCAGUGCUGCCUGGUUCCCAUGAGCCGGGGCAGCGGCCAUGUGUGGCUUCCCUCAUCUUCAGCAUCCUGAGAAGCACGUUCUCUGGAAGAUUCUCAGGGCAGUGUGCAAAUUAUAAUUCUGCCAAGUCAGACGUAGAUGGCACCGUUGCUCUGUGUGCUCCCCACGUUUGCUGGUCAGUAAGUCCUUCCAAAUUUUCUAGAUUUUUCUUAGGGUUUUCAACUGUGGAGAAAACCAAAUCAGCCUCUAGUCACCACGGUAUUUGUUAAUGUUUAUGUGAACUUCGUUUUUAUUUGAAUCUUACUGUGAGAUGGCUUUAGAAAGUUAUGCAGUAACAGGUGUAGAAGAGUCGGACCUGUGAACAGUGAGGAGCUGUGUGCUUACCUGUCACUGAGGUGCAUGUGCACAACUGGAAGCCCCACGCAGCUGGGAGGGAGGGUCCUGUGCUCUGAGGGCUCAGCAGCAGCCAGGUUGUGUUUCUGGCAGCCCAGAGCACAGCCACUUUGUGCCCUUGCAGACUUCCCAAUACACUUGCCUGAGUUUUUAAAAAUAUUUGGUCUUUCGGCAGAUAAAAUCAACUUGACAUUGAAAUUAAGAAAGUGAUCUUACGGGCUGGGGAUGUGGCUCAAGCAGUAGCGUGCUCGCCUGGCAUGCGUGCAGCCCGGGUUCGAUCCUCAGCACCACAUACAAACAAAGAUGUUGUGUCCGCCCAAAACUGAAAAAUAAAUACUGAAGAAUUCUCUCUCUCUCUCUCUCUCACUCUCUCUCUCUUUCUUUAAAAAAAAAAAAAAAAAGAAAAAAAGAAAGUGAUCUUACCUUUGAGUGUGUACAUGGUAGCCGUUUGCCCAGCCAAGUGGAACUCCCCGUGAGCAUUGAGGGGCACCAGCAGACAUGGCUGUCAGCAUCAAUACUGGGAAUGGCAUGUGUCCCCGCUGGGUGGUCUGUCUCUGCUGUGGGAACCAGCUGGGGUUCACAUAGCAGGCCUGGGUCACUUGUCCAGGGCCUGGCCAGGGUCAGCUUUGUUCAGUCUCCACUUGAGCUGUUCUUCCACUGCUUUUAUAGCUCCCCAUGGAAAAGUGGCUGUUGAAAAUAAUUACGCUCUCUGCUCUAAAUCUAUAGGGGAGGACUUCAAAUGUAGUGGUAAUAUUCAGACUUAACUUGGUUUAAAAUAGGCCUAUAUAACAAAAUAUAAAGAUUUUAGCGUUCAGCAAAAUUACAUGGUGAAACAAGGAGAGUGCCCUGUGACUUGAGUUUGUUGGUGCCCGGGAAGGGAGAAGUAGACCUUUCACAGGCCAGGCCACGGGGUGCCUGCGCGCUCCAGCUGCAGGCAGUCUGGACUUUGCCUGCAGGCGGUUGGCACACACACGGCCCCGCCUGCCGGCUGGUGAGCUGCAGGGCCCAGUUCUUCCCAGGUCUUGUCCCAGGACACAUUCACGCAGAGCAGAGCGCUGGGGUGCCGUCCACUGGCAGCUCUGUCCAGCUGCCCUGUGUACAGAGCACACCAGGGCUCCUUUUUAAAUGUUUCCAAAGGCCAUCGUCUGCCAGCCCUGAGGCUUUUUAGAGGCUCCCUUGGGUUCUUGGGGUGACACAGCCCCAAGGUCUUGGCAGAGGGGCUGUGCCCGGGAUGGCUGCGUCGGGGGGAACCCCUGUGGCUGAGGCCACGAGCUCCUGUGCAGAUGCUUUGAAAACAUCAGUGCCUGCCGUGUGACACUCGUGCUCUGUGACACUCCUUUUGAUGGCUUGGCGUGAUCCCUGUCGGUCUUGUCUUGCAGGGUUCAGGACAAGUUGGAGGUGCUGAAUUACACGACCAUCCCUGUCUAUCUCCCGGAGAUCACCAUUGGGGCUCAUCAGAGUGACCGGGUCUUUCGAGCCUUCAGAGAGGUGAGUAGGAAGCCUGAGGGCCAGCCAGGCUGGGGUGGUGGUGGCCGCAGACACCACGACACUCCGCUGAAGAGUGGCUUGCUGCCUUGCCCUUCUGCAGUCCUGCUGGGGUCCUCAGGUGGAGGCAGGAGCAGCCGUGUUCUGGUGGCCCUGGCCGCCUGGCAUACAGCUAUCUUGAUGCACACACGUCCUCUGUUCCUCCGCCACCAUCUCCUCUCUGCUGUCACCUCAACUCUCACGUCCGUCUGUGAAUCAUGAGGCUCACGUUUCUACACAAGGGCCUCCAACCAGUGGGAGCACCGGGCCUGACAGUGGGCAGGAAGUUGGGGGCCAGCCCAUCCCACUCAUCCUGUCUGUGAUUUCCACGCCGUCCAGUGGAUUGUGUAUCCCCGUUGGCAUGGAGAGUCAUCCCCAGCCAGACUCUGAGGGAGGGACAGGGGCCAGCAGGAGAGCCGGGGCUGCUCUGGUCGUUGGCUACUGGCAAUGUGUGCGUGAUCGUAGUGGGGUCUGCACUCUGAGCUGAGCAGGGGACCCGUGAUGGGUUUGGAGAGGGACGCUUCUGCACUGCUGUGAUUUCAGGUGGGUGCUGCAGGUACCCCGAGGCGCGGAGGGUAUGCGUCACCUCCCUUGAGGUUACUUGGCUCCGUGCCUGUUUUUCUGGGGAAUGGACCCUUGAACCCAGGGGCUAUGCGUGCCAGCCACGUGCUCUACUCUGAUCUGUGCAUCUCCAGCCCAUCACUUUCUUUUUCGUGAAUUCUUUGGGUGGUUCUGACGUGACUUCUUCCAGUGUAGACUUGCAGCCCCGCCGACCCUGCCUGCACGCCGUGGCCCUGCCGCUGCUCCUGCUGUCCUGGCGCCCUGCAGGGUGCCUGCGCCGCUCCUCCUAAGCAGGCUGUGUGGACCUGCAGCUUUCUCCUCGGGCUCCUUCCGCCUGCCACCGCGAGGAGAAGCUGUGCCCACUGCAGGCCUCGCCUGCCCUCAGCUCUCCGGCUUCCGUCUUGCUGGCCUGGGAGCUGUUGCUGGGGCGUGGUGUCGGCCGAGCUGCCCUGUGGGCUCUGGGAAACCCCUGGUCUCCUAGUGGCCACUCCGACUUUAAAGCUUUUUUCAUUUGAUGUUCACGUGGCUUCCAAGCUUCUUUAAUUGAUGUUUAUUGGGUAGCUUUUCUCCACCCUGUAAUUUCAGCUUCUCUGUGUGUUUAUAUUUAAUGUAAGUACCUUAUAAAAAGCUUGUAGGUGUUUUUAAAUCUUUUGUUAGCCUGAACGUUGUUCGGAUUUAAUGCGUUCUUGAUAAAUCUGUAAAUAGCUUGUCUUGCUCUCAUGGUCUUCUUACCUGUUGAGUGCUGUUGUCCCUCUCUGGAUGAAGCUGUCCUCCCGCCCUCGCCCCUUCUGUUGCCUGCUGGUCCUCGUCCUCCUCACAGCUGGCAGUGACUGACCUGGAGAGGCGGGCGCUCCUCUCUGGCUGCCUGGAGUCCCGCGGCGCCUGUGGUUCUCCUGACUUUGCAGCGCUGCUCGGCCCUGUGUCCUCGGUCUGUGCCCCUCCAGCCCUCAGCCGUGCUCCGGUGCAGUCGGGGUUGAUGUGAUGCUCAGCCUGUGUUUUUGCCUUGCUAUGGCUCACACCUGCCUGGCACCUGCUUCUGUUCAGGAUCGCUGGCCUUCGGCCUGAAGAAUCCUUUGCAGAUAACAGAUUCUCACAUUUAUUUAAAAUGGCCUUUAGUUGGUCUUCAUUUUCUUUGUUUUAUUUUGGAGCAUCAAACAAGAAUAGAAAAUUAGCUUUUCCCAAACCACACUGCCCAGUUGGCAGAGUGCCACCCCUGCAUCACACCUCCUCCCUGGUCAGUCACCCCAUGGACGAGAGCUUCGUUCUCUCUGAUGGGCACCGAGGCUGGAGAACUCUGUUUGAAUGUGUCCUCCUCACAGGCACGGACGCGUCCCCUCACCAGCCAGCAGCUGUCCUGGUCCAGUAGAGCAGGCGCGUGCCUGUGCUGCAUGCUGGGCCACCUGCCACAGACCUGGUCAGCCCUCUAGGCCAGUGCUGUGACUCAAGCAGAGACCCUGCCAGGCCUGGCUCCUGGUCUCCUUGGUCUGCACUAGUUCCUGGGGCUUUGCUCAACGUUCAAGGCCUUGACACUCAGGAGGACCCCGGGACUGUAUUUUGAACAUCUCUCCGUUUGGUUUUAUUGGCUGUUUCCCAUGGUUAGGGUGGUUUUCCUUCUCCCUGUGGGACUGUUGGCGAACUCCUCGCCUCUCUUGAGAGUGGUAUCCUCACUGUGAGGUCACCCUGUGGCCUUUGGUGGCCAGUGCACCCUGGGCGCUUCGAGGCUGUGCAGGAGUUCUCCCUGAGGCUUCGCUCGGCCGUUGGAGCAGCCCUUGGAUUCUGGAUUGCGUUGGUUGUUAACAAGGUGGUUGCCGCGCUGUUCGGCUUUUUCAGGUCUGUCUUUCCUCCUGUGGCUCUAGGUAGUGUCCAGUCUGAGGAAACGUUUCUCCUACUGCACUGGUUUGUUCCUUAACGUGUCUGUGUCACCAUGGACCGCCCCCCACCCCAGGCUCCUGUCCACUCAGCUGCUGUUACCUGUGUCUGCUGGGAACAGUGUGUCCAGCCCAGCGUCUCUGCUCCAGUGUGACCCUGCAGGGUUCUUCUAGUGCCUGUGCCACCGUCUCAGAGUGGGAAGCCUGGUUCCAUCCCUGGUGUGGUGUUUCCUUGCUGGAUCGAUCCUUAUGUGUGACAAGCGUGCCAUCUCAGCUGCCAUGCUGGCCUGCCAAGAUUGCCACUGUCUGUCCCAGCCCUAGCUGGGCACAGUCACUUUAGGACUGAACUUGGGAGGAAGGCGACUGAUUCUUGAAGAACACUUGCAUUGGGUGUAGCCGCCCACAGUGCUGUUUUCCCCAGCACUUGCAAACUUUCAGUACUUCAUAACUCUGUCCUUUGCGUUUCUCUUGAGAAGCUUGCUCUUCCCCCUGAAGAUGCCUUUCUUCUUUCUCUGGCAGGGUCUCUUCUGUCAAACAGGUGUCUGGGUGGCUUUGCGCAUUGUCCAGGUUGUCCUUGCCCUUGGUGGGUGUGCGUCAGCUUGCUGUGGCCCAGCACUCUGCUCUCUGGCUGCUCUCUGCUGUCAGAUGACUGCCUUCCGUUCCCUCCUGCUCGCCUUUCAGGGGCCUGUCCUGCCCUGUCCUUGUGUCCUGUUGUGCCCCUCCCUUGUUUCUCAACAUGCUCAGCCUGGGAGCAGGGCGCGGUGGUACACACCUAUAAUCCCAGUGGCUUGGGAGGCUGAGCCAGGAGGAUCACAAAUUCAAAGCCAGGUUUUCUCCUGCAACUCAGCGAGACCCUGUUUCUAAAUAAAAUACAAGAUAGGGCUGGGAUGGGGCUCAGUGGUCGGGUGCCCCUGAGUUUAAUGCCUGGUACCGCGCAUCCCCUCCCCCAAAAAAACCCAAAAAAAACCCAAAAAACAUGCUCUACACUGUCUCCAAGUUCCUGAUCAUCUUUUGAGCUCUUUCUAACCUGUUGAUAGACCUGCAUUUCCUGCAUCUUAGUGUUUAAUUUUAAUUGUUGUCAAUUUUUGUCUCUAGAAUUUCCUGUCAUCAUUUUCACUUUCUGCUGUAACUGUUUUGUCGUCAGUGUCUUGGGCGUCCUGGUCCCAGGCACAGUGAACUGAUAACCGCAGCGUCUUCUCCGGGGUGGGCGAACCCUCGGGUCUCUUGCCCUGUGUUUCUGGUCACUGACUGCCUGGGGCUGUCCUUUGUUGUUUCGCAGUGCUCUCCACGGUGGCUGUUCAUCCUAAGACUGUGCAGGUUGCGCGAAGCUUCCGUGGCCCCGUCUCUGGCAGGCGUGGGAGGCAGAGCAGGUCCCAGUGCGUCCAAGAGCUGAGCGAGGGAGCCGGUUCUCUGGGUCUGGUGUGCUUCACUUGCUCUUCCCGAGAGGCCAACUUCAGGAGGGUCCCUUCUUUUUGGUGGGUCCUGAAAUUUUUGAGUUCUCUGGGUUGGAAAGUCCUGAUCAGUAUCUCAGAGGCUGCUGCUGGUGGAGGUGGACAGGCCCUUGGGUGGCAGGCACAGGCUCCGCAUUGCUUUCUCCUGGGACCCGGGAGCCCUCCUGCCUGGGGCUUGUGAGCCAGGUCCUUUCUGUAGGAGUGGUCAGGAGCAGGACCUGGUUGACCAAGCCAGUCACCCAAACUGGCCUCUCAGCUGUCUUAACCAGCUACAGGGAGAUUGCUUAGCACUUUCUUAUCAUUAUUGUGUUUUGUACAGUUUAACUUGUCAACAUAAAAGAGGAUAUUAUUGGGCUUGUGAUUUUAAUUUAAUGUUGAGAAAUGAUAAAAUUUUUAAUCAAUGUUUAAGUGAUUGGGGAAAUCUUUUUAAAAUUUGUACAUGUUUUUUAAAAACAAGCUGCAUUUUUGGAGCAGUUUUAGAUUUACAGAACAAUGACGUGGACGGUGGACAGGCCUCCUCUCCCCACGGUGCUUUUCCACAUCCUCCAGGUCGGGUGCAGAGCACGUGUUGUUAGUGAGGCCUCACGGACACCUCGCUGGAACCUGAACCUUGGGUCUCCCAGUGUCCCCCAGUCCAGGCCUCCCGGCAGGAGUCCCAAGCCUGCAGGCCCCUCUGGGCGGUGGCCUCUGCUCGGCCUUCCCUGACUUGGGCACCUUCGGCUGCCAGAAGGAGCACAGCGGCCGUUGUAGCACAGCCUCCGAUGGCUGGCCGGGCUUUUCUCAAGGUCAGCUGGGCUGGGCAGGGGUCGAGGUGCCCUGUCAGUGUGACCGUCACUUGGCAUCACUGACCACCUGGUCCAUGGAGAGUGGCUCUUCCCUCUUUCCAGAGGGUCGCCGCACGGUGUGGCUUUGUAUGUGCCUGUUGGGGAGAAUUGUGGGACCAUUGAGAGGAAUGCUUUUUUUUUUUAAGGAAAUUCAGUUGCUUGAUAUUAAAGAUUCUGCUUCUCUUCAUUGAUAGCAUUCCCUCUGGCCACUGAGGACAUAGUGAGGAUUGUCCCAAGUGUCCCCUGGAGGUGGCUUGUGGGGUGUGGCGAUGAGCAGUGGAGGGCUCUGGGUGCCUGAGCAGUGCUGAGGGUCUGGGUCCGUGGCUCCACACGUGGCUUCCCUGGGUGGACAGCUGCCCAGCUGUGCUCCGUCUUGCACGAGAGUCCCUCUGGUGAGCUGCAGCUGGCUGGUGGCCUCUUGGUGGCCUCGGCAGACAGGCAGAUGCCUACAUACCUGGCCUCCCUCCUCCAGCGCCCUGCGGAGGUCCAUGUGUUCCCACGCUCAAGAGGCAGAGUCAUAGGGCAGCUUCGUUCUCUGUGGCCAUCCCUUCAGACAGGCCACAUAUUAGGGACAACACACCCCACUGCAUUAAAACACAUUAUUCAAUCCCCAGCACCACAAAAAAAAAAAGAAAAAACAAAAAACAAACCCUUAGCCGUCCACCUCUUCUGCCCUGUCUUCCUUCCCUGGAGGCAGUUCCAGGGCCAUGGAGUGGAGAGGCCCGAAGGCAGGCUGUCCUGCAGGCGUCCCUCCUUAGUUGUUCAGGUCACAGUGCUCCUCCUUGUUCCUGUGGCUCCGCUGGGACCUCAGGCCUAGGCAAGACUGGAAGCCUGGGGCAGGGACCAUGCAGAUGGCAGUGUGCUGGCCUUGCUCCGAGAACACCCAGUGGAGGCUGCUCUUCCUGCAGACCCUCACCUCAGGCCAGCAGAAGGACACGCUGUCAGGUUGCUCUUGUCAGGUCAGAGGCUGGGCUUCUGAGGUUACUGAGGGUUACUGUGAAGUUGAAUUGCUAACCAGAUCCACUGCCGUUUUCCAGAUCUGAACAGAACAGAGCCUUUUAGAGAAGGGCUGGGAUUUGCUUCAUGGGCCUUUUGUUGAGAGGCUAGGAAAGUAGAAUCAGCCCCUUGGCAGGGGCAGAGGCAGUGCUGGGCCUGAGGCCGCAUGGACUGGCUCUUCACCUCGAGCUUGCUGCCUGAGAACCACCCUGCCCUCGAGCACAGGAAGUGGAAGCCAGCCGGGCCUACAGCACCUGCAAGUGCCCGUGGUGAGAAGACCUGCAGUUGUCCCUUCCAGAGCCUGCAGCUGCGUGGGCACCUCUCAGAAGAGGGGCCUUCCUGAUAAUGGCACAGGGGUGUUCCAUGGCCAGCUGUUUCCUGGAGCAGGAGGAAGGCAGCGGGGCCCUGGGCACCAGCACCUUGGAGGCACUUGCUCCCUUGUUAGGAAUUUGUUUUCUUUUUUUGGCACUGGGAUUGAACCCAGGGACGCUCAACCACUGCCACAUCCCCAGCCCAUUUUUUAUUUUGAGAUGAGAUCUAAAUUGCUGAGAUCCUUGCUAAGUUGCUGAGGCUGGCUUUGAACUUGCAAUCCUCCUGCCUCAGCCUCCUGAGCCACUAGGAUUAUAGGUGUGCACCACCAGGCCCAGCAGGAACUUUUUUAAAAAGGUAGAAACACAUGGGUUUUCACCAGACUCCACCAACAACAGGAGUCCUUUAUAUAAUCUCAGUUAACAUUAGAAAGACAAACGAAUUGCCAAGAGCAUAGCUCUAGUUUUGUGAGAAGCUUGAACUUGGGGCGUGGAGGAGGCAGGUGCUGAGUGUGUCCUGGUGCACCCCUUCUCUCCCGUGGUCGGGUCUCACAGUGCCUGGCGCUGGCUCUGCUUGGAGUCUUGGAGACGGAACCAUCUUUUGCUGCCCGUCCUGAAAUUCAUUAAUUAGUGUAGUGUUGUUAUCUCUUUGAGAUCUUUCCGACUUUUUUGUCCUUGGGAGUUUUGUAGCUGAACAAACAAGAUAGGUCUUGGUUUGACUUUGUUUACGGCAGUGUUUGCCAGACCUGCUCCUGGCUCGGGCUUCCGCUGCUGGGCUCCUGAGUGCUGAAACUGCGUUCCUGCGUGGUCUGUGUCCACCUGUGGUUCCCAGGCUCCUUCACUUUGUCUUGCCUUGGUUUUCCUUGCUCUUACCCUUGGAGGCUCAUUUUCCCCUGUUAUGGGACUCUGGAGUCUUGGCUCCUCUUUGUGGGGCCUCUGCCCUGGGCAUCGCCUCCUGAGGAGGACUGGCCUGGCCGGUAGAAUGUAGGAGCCCGACACACGCAGGGUGCUCAGAUACCGCCUUGCCUUGGUGGUGUGAGUGUGUCCCAAGUGCCGCAUCCACUGUUCGUCCUGCGUCUGGAGCUAGCUCUGGCCGCCCUUCCCCAGGUUCCUGGGCCCAGGAUCGUGGAGCGACUGGGAAGACAGCCACCUGGUGCUCAGCCAAGCCCCAGGCUCAGCCCCCAGCAUUGCCAUGUUGAGCUCCCCCCUCAGUCUCUCACCCCUCGGCAGAUGUCUGACAGGUCUCCAGCAUAGGGUGAUGUCGGGGUGCAACAGGCCUUGUCCAGGAGCCUGCAUCCUCGUGGGCAGCAGGGAUGAGCAGUACGCAGGAGGCAUCUGAGACCAGGCCAGACACGGGCUGCCUUGCCGAGAGGCAGCACUGGAGCCGUGAGGAGCAGCCCACCUCGGGCAGGGAGCAGGCGGGCAGUCUGCGAGCAGGAGAGCCUCCUGCCCAGGAACGUGCUGAGGCCAUCCAGGCAAGGCCAGGAGGGCCUGCGGGCUGCAGAGAGGACUGGUGCUCUCAGGCUGUGGGCCCACUCAAGUCCUCCUUUGCAGCCGUGUGUGUGUUGGACGUGACAGGGCCAGGGUGCAGGUUGGGAAAGGUUGGGAGCAUCUCCCCAGUUCUGGAUGGAGACGCUGAGGCCUGAGCGUGGCCCGAGGCCAGUGCCCUCCUUCCCCCCAGGCCUCCCUCUUUGCGCAGCCAGGUCUGUUCUUGCCUCAGGUUUUCAAAACUCCGCAGACCGUGGGCUUCAGGGUGGGUGGGGAAGCUGGGGGAGCGGCCCAGGCCUGGCGCGGCGGCUUCCUCGCCCGGGCAGGGCUUACUCACAGACAGCACCGGAGUCCACUGAGCGGCUACUCUGGCUUUCAGAGAAGGGAGGUGGCUCUUGGUGACAGUGGACGUGGGCGAGGGUUCUCUGGGGCUGGGUGUGCUCACCGUGGGUAUCCCACUGACUGGUUUAGCUCUGCCAGUGACCAGCGCAGGAGCCGUGAAGGCUGGGCCAGCUGAGCCCGAGCCUGAGCAGGUUGGGACUGAGCUUGUCACAAGAGGAAGCCAUCGGUCCCACUCCUGCUGCAGGAGUGUAGCUAGACCGCCCCGAGCAGAGCCUGCAGGUGUUGGGAAACGUCCUGGCUGGUGGGGGACAGGCUCGCCAACUCCCGCGCAGCCUUGGCCUAGUGACCUGCCGUUGCCAGGAGGUUCCAGGGUGUGGGCCUGGUUCUGACCGAGCAGGCUGCCUUUCACACCGCGCUCGCUCAGCAGUCGUAGGAGGGUCGCUUCUGCCCCUGCAGCCUCACGCUUCCCAGGCCUCGCUGCGCAGGCACGCCUCUCCUGGCCUGCCCAGAGGAGCAGUACUGCUGCUGCCACCAGCGUCCAGCAGGGCUUGCCCCAGCUAAUAGGUCUGGUGGCCCCGGAGCUGCCUGCCAACCUGAGGCUGCCAGGGAGGACCAGCUCACCGAGUGCUGGGCAGGGGCCAACCCGUGGAGGUGUGUGCAGAGCGCAGCUCCCAUCCCAGGCACUGCGGGAGGGUCGCAGCCAGCAGGCCCUUGCAGGAUGCUGCUGUGACAACUGGGUCAUCACAGACCGUGGGGACGGUCUCAGGAGAGCGCAGGGAUCUGCUAGCCACCUUUUACUAGCUUCUCGUUUUAUUGUUUUUAAAGGCCAAGACCUCCUGAGUGUGUGUAAGGAAAGAGCAGAUGCCACUGGUUGGUGUGCAGGAGGUGUGAGAGAGAGACCGGGCAGCGGGUGGGAUGGGGCCUAGGGCCUCAUUUCUGGGCGCAGCAGAAGGGCAGGGGCCAUGCCAGUGCCAAUCACUGCUCAUUUUAUAAGACCACCAAGCUCCUCUCUAGAGGGGUGCAGGGGUUCAGGGGUGCUGCGCAGGAGAAGGACUCACUGCUUCCUGGUGGUGCAGGGCGCAUGGGCUGGUGGGAGUCUUCCUGUGGCCCCACCUCAGGACCUCGCUGGCUCCGGGUUGAAGUUUCUCGUCCCCUUGUUGGCAGCCACUGGUGCACACGCAGGGCAGGUCGAGCUGCUGGGCUUUCUACAGUGUUCACACACUUGUGUCAGCACCAUUUCCAAGGUGGUGGAAGCACGUGGUGGCCAGAGUGUCUGGAAGCAGCUGGCGCCACUGCGGGGCUCAGCGCUCUUGGGCCACGCCGAGCCGUGGCACCAGGCUGCCACGCUGGGCCGCGGAAGCCGCCUUUUCCCAAUCGCUGCACACUCAAGUGGACAGUUCAGAUAGGCUGUCCGGGGAGGUAAGGGCCUGGUGCCCGCACCCCAGCAGUGUGGCCGUGCAGGACCAGGACGCAGAGAUGGCGCUGAUGGGACUCUGAGCCUCGGGUUCCUUCACCUGGUGGCAUCGUGGCUGGGGGACUGAAUGCCAGCAGAACGUGGUGGUUGGGGUGAGUUGGCCACCCUUGAUGGCAGGCGGAAGCUGCAGCUGUCUCUCCUGGCCUUCAGUGGGAGCCUAGGGAGCGCAGCGUGGGGACCUAGACCUCCCACUGCUCUGUGGUGGCGGAGUCGAGGCCCUGAGGCCCGAGUCUCAGAAGGUUCCCACCAACCCAUUGCUUGGGCUCUGCAGGUCUUGCCUUUGCUUGAACUUGGACCCCUCUGUUUGAUGCAGUGAUCUGCAUCGGGCGGCCUCUGGAAGGGGCUGCUGCCCUGGGGCUGGCUGCACGGGGGAGUGGUUCUCCCAGGAGCUCACUUUUUCUGCUUAUCCGCUCAGUCCUCAGGCCCUGGGCCGUUCACCGUUUGUCCUUGCAGGACAGCUCCUAGGCCUUCAAGCCUGCCAGCACGAGCCCUGCCUCUCUGCGCACUCACCUGUUGCCUGGACGCUGCAUGGGGACACAGAUGCAGGCACAGCCCGUCCCUGCAGACCUGCUGGGCAGGAGGCAGGGCAGCCGUGGGCGUGGCAUGGUGUGAGGGAGGAGGUGUGGUGUGGUCCCAGGGCCUGGGGUCGUGACCCUCAGGAUUCUCACAGGAGAAGUGAACUUGGCCCAGCAGGAGAAGGUCAGGGGCAGCUGAGGGCAGGACUGCUGGCCUGAGGGCAUGGGGCUGCUUGGUGGCCACCUGGUGGUGUGUAAAGGGGAGGGCAGCGGGCCAGCGGGGCGUGCUGGUGCUGCUGCAGGUGGUGAGAGAGGCUACCUAAGCACCGCCGGAACAUGUCCCUGCCUCGCCAAGCAAGGGCGUGGCCAGUGUGCCGGGGAGAGUUAGGAAAGGUGCUCAGGAUGGUGGACUGGGGCGAGGGAGGAUUCCAGGGCUGUUUUGAACACCUCGCCGGCUCUGGGAGACCUGGGAGUGAAUCCUAGAGGGUGGACAACAGAGUGAGGCUCAGGAAAGUUACUGGAGGUGACAGUGCAGGUGAAGGUACAGGGUGGUGGCCCAAGACUUUCCCAGUAGGAGGAGUGGCUUUGGUCGUGAAGGGCAGGAGACAUAACCCUGGGCUUAUUUCCAGGAUGGCUCCAGCUCCCUCCCGUGUGGGUGCCUGGGCAGGUACACAGGUCAGUCUGGUGCCCUGGCUUGUAGAGCUGGCAGGGGUCUUGGAAGGGGCUGUGUUUCGAGGUGGUCACGGGGGAAGCAGGACCUGGCAGAGGCAGGGGCUGGCGCUCACAGCAGUGACUGCUGAGUACCACGGGCACCUACUGUGUGCUGGGCACCGUGUGGUGGCCACAAGGAAGCGCCUGUCCCUCCCACUUGCAGAGGCGUGGUCAGCAUGCAGGUGCCUGGGCGGUGCGCAGCCCCUGGCCUGGCGCUGCAGCGGUCGUCCUGGGUAGGCAGCAUUUCCUGCUCUGCCGACUGACGUGGGCACAGAUACGCAACCAGAGACUGCUGCAGAGGACGAGGCAGCUCAGGUGUUCAUAGGGGUGGUUUUGUUUUGUGUCUUCAUGGGUCCUGUGACCUUGGCGUUCUUGACCAGUCCUGCCACUGGUCUGGCUGGAGUGCUAGAGGCUCUCAGUGUCUGUCAGCUUCCAGGUGACUGCCCCGUGCCUGGCCACUGUGCCUGGGGAUCCAGGAUUUCAGCCCGGGUGGCUCUCAGAAGAGCAGGAGGACUGGGACCCCAGCAGUACUUGUUAACAGGUUUCCAUCCGUGACCUCCCAGUUCUGUGCUUGGAGCCGUGCCUACUCGUGGUCAUGGAGAGCCUGAGCACCGUCAGCAGGCCCGCUUUUCACAGCCACUUUCCAGUUCCGCACAGAGCUGCUCUGGGGCCACAGACUGAUUGGUCUUUGUCUCCCUGACUUGGUCCCUUCCCGCCAGUGAGGCCAGGGGCUGCUAAGAGGCUGAGCUCCUCCCGUGGAUCCAAGGGCCGAGGCGGUGGCCAGGACGGCAGAGUCUUCUGCUUUCUGACCUGCUAGUUUUUAUUUCUUAACUGUCUCAAGUUGUGUCAUCCUCGGUCUCAAAUCCUCCUUUACCGCAGAGUUGUCUUUAGUACCUCCGUUGUGCUGACACUGCGGUCUGGCCCUUAGGGACUUCACCGUAGUGUGCUCACCUGCAGUCAGCAGUGGGUACCAGGAGAGUUACCGGACCUGUAGAGGAAGACCACCGCCCGUGGUGGUCGGAAUGUCCUCGUGGCGUUCAGCCCAGAGCUCCCCUGGGAAUCUGGUUAUGAAGUCAGAGUCCAGAUCUCAGCUAGAGCAGGGCUGGGAGGAGACGGGUCUGCCUGCCUUCAUGCCUGCUCUGCAGAACCCCAGCACCUGGCAUCAGUCUGCCACCUCAGUUACCCACAUAGGAAAUCGGCACAGGAGGGUGGGUUUGCUCGCCACUGCUGGUGACCGUGUGUGAAGAUGUGCUGACCUGAGUGGGGGGCUCGGCAUGGCCUGGAGGUCCAGAGCGUCACUGUCCGGACACACGACAGACGUCUGUGGGCGCUGGGAGGGGCUUGCUGUCUCCAGCGUGUGAGCAGGUGCUUGGGAGCCCUUCUGCCGGUCACGGCUGGUGCCAGUUGAGGGGUGAACACUGGGGACUGGGCUGCCGUGGUGUGCGUCCCAGUGAGCAUCCCAGCGACAGGUGGCCUGCCUGUACACAGACACCAUGCCUGUAUGGCAGACAGAGGGUGGCUUUUUGAAACUUGACGUGGACAAUGGAAAUAUUUCUCUUGAAAUUGACUGUGAUCCUGACUUGUGGAGAACAGUCAUAGAAGUCUUAGGGAAAUGGCACACUGAGGAAAUGGUCAGCAGUCUCCAUGAUGUUAUUUCUUACAAUUAACGACAGCAUUCGGAGCAGAGCUCAUCUGUGUACACAUAGUGACGGAAACAGGAGCUGACCAGAAUCCCCGCGUCCCUCAGAGGCCCAGAGGAGGCAGACCUGCCGUCCCUGACGCAGCCCUUUCCUGCCCGCAGCUACGUUCAGUCCUGUCUCCUCUGCGCUCCCUGUUUACAGGAGCUCCACUGGGGUCCGUCCCUGUGUACCUGUGUGUGACACCAGCACUGAGUGUCCUCCAGGAGGACUCUGAACAGGGCUGUGGGUGAACGCCCCGUUGCCCCCGAGGUCCAGCCUGCGGGCUGGGGGCAGCCCCCACUGCCCGGUGCGCUCCUCCUCGCGCGGUGGCCAGGAGGCCCGGGUCUCCCUCUCCUUUCCCGGCCGCGUGUGCUCUGCCCUGGGCUGUUUCGGGGGCCUGCUGGCUUCUCUCCUGGCGGCUCCGGCUGUGCCUCUGGCUUGCCGUGGCGGUUCCUGCUUUCCACUUCCAUGGGCACCGCGCCUGCCGCGGGCCUCUCGGUGGGGGCUCUCAUCCUCGUUGUCUUUGGAGAGUCUUGAAGGGACUCCUAGCCUCGCACCAUCCGCACGUCCCUGCCACCUCGGGCCUCGUGCCUUCGUCUGGACCCAGGUGUGGUCGGCACCAUAUUCCGUGAGCUGGGCGGCCUCUGUAGCAGUGUUCCCAGGGCACGGCACGGUGACAACUGCUGUUGACUGCUGUUCAUAACCACGUUCCUUCCUGCUCCACUCGGCACUGGCAGUGCCUGCCUCCGGGUGGUGUGUCCCCUUCCCACAGCAGAGCAGAUGCCCACGGCCCGGGCGCCUGGCUGCUGUCGGGAAGUCCGCGGCUGCUCUGGUCUCUCUUCCUGGCACCCGCGCACCCUCCCCUCCGGCUGCUCCUGGAGCUUCCAGAGUCGGGUCACGCGCCUCGCGCUGCCUCGCUGUCCUUACCUCGGGUGGGGGCCCUCGGCUUCCUGGAAGCGCAGGUUGCCGUCUCUGAACUUUGGGGGCCCUCCCUCCCCUUCUCGGAUGUGUGUCCACGUGCACGGGGCUGGCCUUCUCCACAGGCCGCGGCUUGCUUUCAGCUGCUUGUUCUGUACCAUCCGUGUCCUGGGUGCCUGACACCCAGGUGGCUGUCUCUGGGCCACUGACCUCUCCUCUGUCCUCUGGGGUGAGUUUCACUGUGGAAGGGCUUCAUGUGGGGAAGUGCCCAGGGAGGGUCGGGGAGGCGCUGAGGGGGCGGGAGGGCCUGGGGACAAGCACAUGGCACAGUGGACGCUCACAGCCCCAGGGGCUACGUGGAGGUGGCUGUUCUGGGGAGAGCGCGACUCCUGGUUUGCACGUGGGGCUCGGGAAAGGCCACCCUCUGGGGGGGGGCUCUCAGUAGGCCCGCCCUCCCCUCAGCACCCAAGCAUGCGAGUGCUUCAUGGCAGCCACCUCCAUGUCCCGGUCCCCUGUCCAUCACCUGGCACUCCUGCUUUUCGCCUUGGUUGGGGUCUCGUUCUGGGUCUGAGACAAGCGUUGGGGUUUCUGGUGGGUGGGGGGCUGCUUGCAUGGCAGCGUUGAGCCUGUUUGGAUGGGAGUUUCAGUUUGGGGGGCUUCUGGGGCAGCUGGUCUUCGGGGGACAGUGUACACACUAGGAUUGGCCUGGGGGCUCUCUUCCUGCCCUGUGUGCACGGAGAGGCUGGUGGUGGGACGCUGACCCGAGUCCUGGGCAAGCGGCUCCGGCAUGGACGCCACCGCCCGGAGCUCUACUUGUGAGCAGGAGGCCCUCGCCAGAGACCAGGGGCCCCAUGCAGGUUUGGGAGCUCCUUCUGUCACCCCCACGUGAGGCAGAGAGGCCGGGAGCCUGACGAGCCUCCUCAGGAGAGGCUGACACCCACGCCGGUCACGCAUCUGGGCAGCGGUGCAGCAACCUGGACCAGGCCUUUCACAGGUUGGGUGGCGGCUGGGGCUGCGCAGCACCAGCCGCAGUGACCUCCUGCCCACGGUCCGGUCCGUUGCUGGCUGUCAGUGGGUGUUCGGGUCAUGAUGGGGAAGCCUGUUCUCGGGCCCUGUCCCCUCCUGCAUUUCCCCCAGUGACACCCUCCUGGUGUCUGUAGGAACCCGGGGGGUGGGGGGUGCUGUCUGUCCAGGUCCCCGCCUAGGGUGGUAGGCCUGCAGGCGGGGCAGCCUCCCGCAGCUCCUCCCUCAGGCAGAGUGGCUGGGCGAGUGAAGGGGCGCGAGUGCGGGCACCAGGGCGCACACUGCACUCUGACACCGGCCACUUCUUCCUCCCCAGCUGCCGGGCCGCAGGUACCGCCCCGGGUACAACGCCGACGUGGGCGACAAGUGGAUCUGGCUGAAGUGAGCGGCGCCCACCAGGCUGUCACGGCACGAGGACGCCUCUGUCCCGUCCCUCUCACGGACUCCACGGAGCUGUGCAGCUGCGGGAUGCAGAUGGUGGUGAGCUGCGCGGAGGGCCCAGCAAAUGCAGCCCACCCAGUGCGGCCUGUGGAGUUUGGGAAACAACUUCUCUUGCCGGCCUCGGGCCUUCUGGCUGUGUUCUGAAGUCACCGUGAUUGUCACUGGGGAGGAGCGGCAUUUGCUGUCAAGCCCAGCUGUCGCCGAGGCGUGGUGUCCGCCCAGCUCCGUCACCACGGUGGCGCGCUGUUCCUCUGACUUGAAGAAAUAAAGCCGUUGCUGUGGAGUCCC
rnacentral:lncRNA from 1 species